rnacentral:misc_RNA from 1 species
AUAACUGCUGUCCAUCCAGGGGGCCUACUUGCUGAGCAUCCACAGCACCAUCAGGACCUUUAAAUCUCUUCAUACUCCUAUUGUCUGGAUCCACAUCUGCAUUUUUCGUGNCCCUGCACUUGAUGCAUUAAGGAGUAAUUCUCAUGAAAAAAAUUAUUGGGCCUUAAAGAUCGGCCAAAUGGUUCAAUCUCUCUUUGGGUACUAGCAGGGUUCGCAAGAGAAGUGCCAAUAAGACCAUUUGCAGCAGAUUCUUUCCCUUCUGAGACAGAAGUUGUCUUCUGAGCAUGGUCAUUAUCCGGUGAAACUUGCUGGCAUGGGUAUCCUUUCACUGCUUGUUCUUUCCCGCCAAAACCAAGUGAAUUCAUGGAACAUGCACCAGAUUCAGAAGGGCCAUUCCUUACCAUUUGCACAGCAUGACCUUCUAGCUUCUGUGGUACAGAGGAAGUUGCUUCUGAAUCAUUAUUAGAUUGAAUGUUGGGCUUAAACAUAUUGGAUGAAGCCUUAAAAGCCUGCACACCAAAUGAACGUUGCUGUGUUGAAAUGUUGGUCCAUACAGGAGCCGACGUUCUUGCAGACGCAUACUCCUGUGAUUUGCCAGAUACAUUAGAACCCUGAAGAGCUGGCACAGCUUCCAAAACAGGAAAUUGCUGGGCAGAAUCUUUUGCGCCAUUUUGGUUGUUAUUACUGAACUGAUGCAUCUCACCAGAGGAAGUAACAUCAUUAUGUGAAGUAAUUCUAGAGUCGUCUGGCAAUGAAGCUAGUGCUGACUGACCACUUCGAGCUCUCUCAAAAGAUUCAGUCACCUGUUUUGACUGAGAUGUAAACCCAUCAAAAUAUGCAUUGACAGACUGACUGUUUGUUGCUC